UGGAGUUGGUGAUCUGAGACUUUUCCAGACAGUAGUGGAGCCGUUGGCUGAGAACUGAUGCUGGAGUUUCUCAGAGUACAGCCGUUUAGCUUCCCUGACCACCCUGCGGAGGAAACUCAUCUCGGCAGCUUGUACUCGCGAUCUCGUUCUUUCGGUCAUGAGCCAAAUCUCAUGACCAUAGGUGAGGA